CGAAACUAUUUGGUAAACUUUUCUUUAGCCAGGGGCUUAUAAAUAAAAAGGUUUUUUUUAAAAAAGGUUUAGUAGUAUAGAUAAUAUUAUCGUAUAUAGUAAUAGCUUAUAAAGAGGGAAGCUUUCGAGUUAAUAUGAACGGGUAAAAUCAGUUCUUUAUUUAUAAUGUAUUUGUAUUUUAAUACGAAAAUUAAAAUUUGAGGUGAGAAGUUUCUAAAAUAAAAAAGUGUUUUUACUUUAGUCCAGGCUUACAAGCAUUUUUAUAGCUCUUCUUAGUUAAUCGCAAAAAAUUAAACUAUGCUGGAAUUAGUAAAUGACUAAAUAUACAAAAACUCGAGAUUAGCCCCAACUGUUUAACAAAAACAUUUCCUUCUUGUAUAUUUUGAAGGUAAAGCCUGCUCAGUGGGUAUAUUAAACAGCCGCGGUAUUUAAGCUGCGCGAAGGUAGCAUAAUUAAUUGUCUUUUAAUUGGUGACUUGUUUGAAUGGCUUAAUGAGGGCUAAUCUUUUUGUAUGCUUAAAUGAACUUAUUUUCUAGGGUCAAAAAACCUAGAUUAAUAAAAAAGAAGAGAAGACCCUGAUGAGUUUUACAAUUUAAUAUUGUUUUAAUGGGGCCUUAUAGUUUAUUUCAUACUAUAUUUGAUCCUACCUUGAGGAAAAAGGGAUAAAUUACCACAGGGAUAACAGGACAAAAUUUACUAAGAGUGCAUAUCUAAGUAAGAAAAUGUUACCUCGAUGUUGAAUCAAAGUUAACUUUUAGGCGCAGAAGUUUUUGGAGUAGGUCUGUUCGACCUUUAAAACUUUACG
rnacentral:rRNA from 1 species